AUUUGACGUUAGCGACAGAAGAAGCACCGGCUAACUCCGUGCCAGCAGCCGCGGUAAUACGGAGGGUGCGAGCGUUAAUCGGAAUUACUGGGCGUAAAGCGCAUGCAGGUGGUUUGUUAAGUCAGAUGUGAAAGCCCGGGGCUCAACCUCGGAAUAGCAUUUGAAACUGGCAGACUAGAGUACUGUAGAGGGGGGUAGAAUUUCAGGUGUAGCGGUGAAAUGCGUAGAGAUCUGAAGGAAUACCGGUGGCGAAGGCGGCCCCCUGGACAGAUACUGACACUCAGAUGCGAAAGCGUGGGGAGCAAACAGGAUUAGAUACCCUGGUAGUCCACGCCGUAAACGAUGUCUACUUGGAGGUUGUGGCCUUGAGCCGUGGCUUUCGGAGCUAACGCGUUAAGUAGACCGCCUGGGGAGUACGGUCGCAAGAUUAAAACUCAAAUGAAUUGACGGGGGCCCGCACAAGCGGUGGAGCAUGUGGUUUAAUUCGAUGCAACGCGAAGAACCUUACCUACUCUUGACAUCCAGAGAACUUUCCAGAGAUGGAUUGGUGCCUUCGGGAACUUUGAGACAGGUGCUGCAUGGCUGUCGUCAGCUCGUGUUGUGAAAU
rnacentral:rRNA from 1 species